AGCAAUUUACAUUUUGAGCCGUUAAUGAUCCGUGACGAUGAGACGCAGACUUCAUCUUCAAAAUCAUGUCUGGAGACAGGAAAACACGCAGAAGAACCUCGAGAUCGGUAGGAAACAUGCGAGCCUCCGCUGGAGCUUUUCCGCCUCUGGUACGUCUGCGGCUGCGGGUAAUGAACCUGGACCUGUUCUGAAUCAACGGAAGUGCCAAAGGUCAUGGACCUCAAGAUUCGCUCUGACUCUGACGAGCCGCCUCUUUUUUCUCCUUGGGGUCGUCUUCGUCCCACAAACCGUGACACUGAGGAGGAGGAGGAGGAG